UUCCUUGCGCAGUGGCAAUAUCGUAACCAAUGAAGGCCUCCUGAGGUGCGAUUAUUGCUAGUUGAAAACUUUUACCAAUAUGU
rfam:Rhodnius prolixus Rhodnius_prolixus-3.0.3-37.25, whole genome shotgun sequence.